AUUGAACGCUGGCGGCAGGCUUAACACAUGCAAGUCGAGCGAGCGGCGGACGGGUGAGUAAUGUCUGGGAAACUGCCUGAUGGAGGGGGAUAACUACUGGAAACGGUAGCUAAUACCGCAUACCAUCGGAUGUGCCCAGAUGGGAUUAGCUAGUAGGUGGGGUAAAGGCUCACCUGGGCGACGAUCCCUAGCUGGUCUGAGAGGAUGACCAGCAACACUGGAACGGAGACACGGUCCAGACUCCUACGGGAGGCAGCAGUGGGUAAUAGUGCACAAUGGGCGAAAGCCUGAUGCAGCCAGGCCGCGUGUAUGAAGAAGGCCUUCGGGUUGUAAAGUACUUUCAGCGGGGAGGAGUUACCCGCAGAAGAAGCACAGGCUAACUCCGUGCAAGCAGCCGCGGUAAUAC
rnacentral:rRNA from 1 species